AUUGAACGCUGGCGGCAGGCCUAACACAUGCAAGUCGAGCGCGAAAGGCCUUCGGGUUGAGUAGAGCGGCGGACGGGUGAGUAACGCGUAGGAAUCUACCUGGUAGUGGGGGACAACUUGUGGAAACGCAAGCUAAUACCGCAUACGACCUAAGGGUGAAAGUGGGGGGACCUUCGGGCCUCACGCUAUCGGAUGAGCCUGCGUAGGAUUAGCUUGUUGGUGAGGUAAAGGCUCACCAAGCGACGAUCCUUAGCUGGUCUGAGAGGAUGAUCAGCCACAUUGGAACUGAGACACGGUCCAGACUCCUACGGGAGGCAGCAGUGGGGAAUAUUGCGCAAUGGGCGAAAGACCUGACGCAGCCAUGCCGCGUGUGUGAAGAAGGCCUCGG
rnacentral:rRNA from 1 species